CAUUAGCUUCUCCAAGCACAGAAGUAACACACGCACCCUUCCUUCCUUCAGGCUUCAACUAUGGCUCUCGUCAGGAACUUGGCUGCGCUCCUGUGCGUGGUGCUCGCCUCGCUUGCGUUCGUCGCACAGGCCGUGCUUGCCGCCAGAGGUAUGUAUCAACUCUCGACCCCCUCUCUUUUUUGUUCGAAAAUAGUGAUUUUUUUCGAAUGUCUAAGGUGAUGUCCCGCAUGUCUAAUGCUGCAGGUGAUUUAAGCAACGUGAAGCGAGACGGUGUGAGGGGAACCUGGGCGUCCCCUUCCUACCAGGUGCGGCCGGGGCCGCUCCCGCGCUAUCCUCCGAAGUAGGAUGGAAGCAAUCUAUGCCAAGAACGGGAAUACAAGUAUGCCGCUCAAGAGUAAUUUAGUUAUUUGUCACUGAGCACUGAGCGUUCGCUGCCGAUAUAAAGAUACCGAAAUGCACGAUUGUAUUUGUAUGUUACUCCAUGCGUCUCAUGAUAUAAGAUGUUAUUACAAUCGUAUGCGAAUAAACAACAAGGAGCAACCUGUGUGCCUUGCUGUGUGUCCCAUGUCCGGAGACUGUCCGGUGCUGAGUCUAUUUGGGUCAUGUUCAAGCUAUUACUUAUUAGAAUCAUGACAUGAAACCUGUCUUUGCGUUGUUUUUUUACCACUACUUGUACCUUGAAUGAGCAGUACAAGGAGAAAAGGCUCAAUGAAUUUACGCGGUCUCUCCACCCGUGUGUUCAAUGCUUUCCCUCGUGAGCACAAACGCCGGUUUUCAUAGUGUUUGUGUGAGCCGACUCUCGCUUUCUAAUUUUGGAGAUCUAAAUCUCAUCCAAGAAGCUGAGAUUUGCCAACGGGUCCUUUUGAGACUUCCAUCACAAACCGGUCCGAGG
rnacentral:lncRNA from 1 species